UGCAGGAGAUUAAAGCAAGCAUAAAAGACUGUGAUCAAGGAAACAAGCCCCAGAUGAAAAGACACUGCCUGAAAACCCUAAGUAAAUACAUGAAUAAAUAAACACAACAUAAAUUAUACCCAUAUGCACUUCAUUCUAUAGUCCAGAAUCUGGUGUUUCUUUCAAACACCCACAUUUGUCAUACUGUCCUUAGGUCACAAAGGGCUCUUUAGGAGAAGGC
rnacentral:lncRNA from 1 species